rnacentral:lncRNA from 1 species
CCGAAGACACUACCCGAUACUAUGAACUCUUAAGGGUUUUACAAAGAUAGGUGUAUUAGCCACCAAAAUAAAGGAGAAGAAAAAAAAAAAACAGAUUAAUAUUUGGGCAAAAGACAAUGACUUUGGUCGACCAAUGAACUGAAAGCAAUUAAAGUUGAAAAGAAGGAGGACAAAAGGAGGGGAUUCUGUGGCAAUUAACCGUGAAGGACAAAAGGAUGGCUGAUCAAAUAGCUUUUGUGGUGGAAUCUUGUGUCAUGGAACAGAUAAGCGAAGGCAAAUAGUAGAAGUCACCUUUCAAUCCCAAAGUAAUUUUUCUUACUCACGGUUUGCUUGAGUUUACUCUUUGUGUAUACGAAAAUUUCAUUGGGUAAUGAAUAUUAAAUACCAAUUAUAUACCUAUAGCCAGCAACGCUACUAAAUUUAGCUUAUUUACAUGUUUAAGAGCAAAAUAUUUUUUGAACAAUACCAUGAAUAAAUAAUAUGACCGUUUUAAAUAGAAGAAUAUUGAAUGUGUUGAGUAACCCGAAGCAUGAUAGACAUUAAUUGGAAGAAUUGACGGUUAAAGGUGUAAUCUCGAGGAUUGUAUAUUUUAAAUUAGUUAUGAAUUAGUCUAAAUAAGGAAAUUAAUAUGAGAUCGAUAUUAUGUAAUUAUAGAUUGAUUGGAUGAAUUUGUACGAGUUGCUUGAGGUGAAGCAGUUGGUAUUUCGGCACAAGUACUGUGAGUAGUAAUCUUAUCGUAAUUUGUGUUUUCAUAACUUUCAUGAUUUACGCAUGAUUCCUAAUAUGAAUAUGUUACCGAUUAUUUUAAGUUGCAUGUGGGACAAGUCUUUUACUCAAUAUGAUACCGAAAUAGUUAUUUGACAUGAUUAUUGUUGUUUUAAAUAUUCUUGUUGUCACCAGAUAUGUUUUACCGUUACUUGAAUAUACUGUUAUCGAAAUAAAAUUACAUGAUUUGAUAAGAACCUAAUGCCCUUUAUUAUUUCAAAAUAUUUUUCUACGAGUAUAUACGGAUACAGAGACAAGUAUAAAUGGGAGUAGACUUUGAAGGAUCCCGUAGCUAACAGCGGGUUCAUUAGACCCGGUGCACCUUUUAUUUACCGAUUACAGAGUAUAGUUAUAGCCUUCGCUAGUGGAAGGUAGAACUAGCACACUGUUACUGAUUUCCCUCGAGUAGGGACUACCGUUAUAUUUGACUUCUUGCGAAUAAGUCCACAGUUGUACCGAUUACAUGAUUCGUUCAUUGAAACCUCCCAAAUUUGAAUAUUGAUAUUAUACAGUGGGUACUGAGUUUACACUACAAGAAAAACAUGAUGAGGCUGAAAAUUAUUUAUUGUUUCUGAAAGGGCAUUUUUAUGUUAUUUUCUGUUUGAGAUACUAGCAUGUUUUCUGACUUGUCCCCAAAUAAAAAUGAUUGUAGUUAAGUGUUAUUACUCACUGAGCUAGCGACUCAUUCCCCGCUAAAUUUUUUUACAGAGACAACAGCUGAUGCAUGCGAUGAUUUCGUUAAUUAAAGCGCACGGAUUGAUAGUUCUCGGUGAGCCUCGCACUUGUUCGCGUAGGCGGAGAUUUUAUUUAUUUUCAUGAUCUUCUUUGAACUCUUAAAGUCGCUCUAUGGUCCUUCUUUUAAUGUCUUGAGUAGUCUUUGUUAUUAUAGACUUAUGUUGAGUAACACUCAUUCUUAUCAAAUUUGGAAAUAUAGUAGUAUUUCUAGUUGUUAGUAGGUGAACUGUUAAAGAUUGAUAUUAUUUUGGUUAAUUGAUAAAGUUCUUGUCAUUUGAAUUGCUAUUAGGAUGUUUGGUUGCUGAUUUGAGACAGAAUUUUUUUUGGGAUGAUCCAAAAAAGGGG